UCAAGGCAGUGAAGCAGUGAAGCCAACUGACAUGAUAGUCUCGCGGUACAGAGUUGUGUUGACCGCGCCACAAAUAUCGUGGCGCUCUAAGUGGCUGAUAAGUGUUUGUAGUAAGUUGUGAAACCGCACAGCUGCACUGCUAGCUAAAGUAGAUUUGGCAAAUCUAAUUAUGUGGUUUCACACAUCCGUCCUCCACCCACUAACCACUUAUCAAUGCAAACAGCCACUUAGACCGCUGCACAAGUAGCUCAUGUGUAAUUUGCCAGACGAUAAUAUAUCGGCUGGUCCACGAGACUACUGACAUGAUGGAGUGAGUGAAUAAAAUACAAAUGCAUGACCACUGUCCUUUAAAUAAUGAUUCUAGGAUCUAUGUGCAUAGCCAUAGUAGAUCUUUAUGAAUAUGAAAAAGUGUUCAAGAUGCUCACAACCCAGUGAGUGCCUUUCCGUUUCCAUCACAAUUCCUCACUUGUAUAUAUAGCUGGUACUAUUUGCAGCUCAGUGCUUCUCUGGUGGCAACAAUUACUACCCACAACGAAUCUGUGUGUCCUGAACAACAGUCCCUCACUGCACACACAGUCCACAAGAGAAGACAUUCAUCAACAGCUCCUACGUCAGCAUAGACCACUCCCCCAUCCAGCACAUCUUCACCAACGCCCACCCUCACACCACAUCCAACAACAACCGUAUUCGAUGAUGAUAUUUACGGCCGACACUAUAUUCUCCCUCAACCCACCACCAAAGCUAGCACAGUGACAGAGAGUAUUGAUGGAGAGACUGCGAGUGAACCACUUCCAUGUUUUAUUAUAUAUAAUAAUGUCGUCAACAUCCCUUAAUCCUCUACACAUUGUGGCGUUUAUCAA